rnacentral:rRNA from 1 species
AACGAACGCUGGCGGCAGGCUUAACACAUGCAAGUCGAACGCAUCCUUCGGGGUGAGUGGCAGACGGGUGAGUAACGCGUGGGAACGUGCCCUUCAGUUCGGGAUAACCCAGGGAAACUUGGGCUAAUACCGGAUACGUGCGAGAGCAGAAAGAUUUAUCGCUGAAGGAUCGGCCCGCGUCUGAUUAGCUAGUUGGUGGGGUAAUGGCCCACCAGGGCGACGAUCAGUAGCUGGUCUGAGAGGAUGAUCAGCCACAUUGGGACUGAGACACGGCCCAAACUCCUACGGGAGGCAGCAGUGGGGAAUAUUGGACAAUGGGCGCAAGCCUGAUCCAGCCAUGCCGCGUGAGUGAUGAAGGCCUUAGGGUUGUAAAGCUCUUUCGUCCGGGACGAUAAUGACGGUACCGGAAGAAGAAGCCCCGGCUAACUUCGUGCCAGCCGCCGCCGUAA